AUGUGCUCUUAUGUCAAAUUGCUAAGUAGCUAACAUGUGUUUCAUUCAUGUCAUUGCCUGAUUUUACUCUGUUUUGAACUUUUCUUUUGCAAUUUCAUUCUUCUCCGAUAUUGUCUCAUAACUUACGGAAGCAAUAUAAGAAUUGCCUUGGGAAGCGCGUGCUGAUGUAAAGCUAAAAGUUGAAUCUGACAACUCAUGGGCUUCAAAGAUGAUCAAUUAUAAUUUAGUAGUUUGUUGACUAUUCCACGCGCUCAAGAGCAUCCAUUGCUGCCUUUGAUUCUUUUCAAUUAAGCACAAAGUUAAUCGGAUUGCCUCAAAUGACAGAGUUCUCCGAGGUCUUAAAUUUUGGAGAUCUGAGAGGGAAAUGCAAACCAGUUUUAAUAAACCCACUGUCUGUUUCAUACCAGCAAGGAAAACAAGUAUCACAAUACUGUGAAUUAACGAUCAAGGAAAACAAGUAUCACAAUACUGUGAAUUAACGAUCAAGCCUAAGUUUUUGCUUUUCUUUCACUUAACACAUCUCACUGCCACGUUUCAAUCAUAGUGUUUUCAGUUAGUUGAUCUCAUUUGUUUUUUACUUGUGUAAAAACAUAUAGUUUUCAUGAUUCAUCUUCCUUGAUUUCUAAUGUAGGCUCGAAUAUGCAGAACAAAAUGGCUAAGAAAAUCUUGAGUACAUCAAGCUAUCAUGGAACUUCUUCGUUGCUGAAGAACUUAUAGCCUUGCUUCUGUCAUCUUCAUUUCUUUUUGAUAUGUUCCACAAAUGUCACCUAAUUUCUGAAAAUUUCUCAGAUAUAUUGCUCUUGUUUCAGGAAUUUUUCAAUAGGGAAGCACCAUUUCUUGAGGCAAUAUGGUAAUGCCAUUAUCUAGGAGCAGCAAAAUCUAUAAAUGCAUACCAUUUUUUCAUAUGCUUCUCCCACAAAAUGAUCAGUUGAACAUCUUUCAAAGAACUACAAUCAGCCAUACAGCAAAUACAGUUGGUAAAGGCCUCUUAAUGAUGCAUUCCAAAGUCAAGACAGCCAAACUCAUUUGGAAUUAACUAUGACAGACAGAAGUCAUCAAGGAUUGCUCUUAAAGCUGUGUGUUACGGACUUAGACUUCAACUAAGACCUCCGUGCGGCACUUGACAACUUACUCACGACUCUUUCACGAUCUUGCAAACUCCAAUAAGCCUUUUAAAACUAGAUCGCAAAGGAAACGCUAGAUUAGAAGAAAUACACAAGAGAGUUUUUAAAAAGGACUUGUAUAUUGCUUUGGAAGAUUGCUUGUUGCUUGAUGGAUACAAAUGAAUGACUCCUUCUAUUUAUAUUACUCCCUCAGGGAUU